GACGAACGCUGGCGGCGUGCCUAAUACAUGCAAGUAGGACGCAGGUGCGAACGGGUGAGUAACGCGUAGGUAUCAACCUAACAGAGGGGGAUAACCAUUGGAAACGAAAGCUAAUACCGCAUAGUAGUAGAUGGAUCUGCGUUGAAUGAGCUAGUAGGAAGGGUAAUGGCCUAGAGAGGCAACGAUACAUAGCCGACCGGAGAGGGGUAACGGACACACAGAGACUGGGAAACGGCCCAGAAUCCGAGGGGAGGGAGGAGUAGGGAAUGUUCGGAAAUGGGGGGAGCCCUGACCGAGCACCUCCGCGUGAGUUAAGAAGGGUUUCGGGUCGUAAAGGUCUGUUGUUAAGGAAGCGUUACCUAACCAGAAAGGGACGGCUAACUACGUGCCAGCAGCCGCGGUAAUUC
rnacentral:rRNA from 1 species